AUGUUUUUAUUUUAUAUUUUUUUUAGAGUUUCUUGGUUUUGUUGCCUGCUAAUUGGCGGGAUAACCUGUUCUACAUCAAGCUCACCUAGGUCUAAAGGAUAUGGAAAUGACAUCUCUCCAACAGCUCAAUUGCGAGCGCAGCUGACCGAAGAGCAACAGAAACAUCUGGCCUCCAUCCUGCAAAAGCAACUGGCCCCCAUGCCCCAGGCACCUCAGGAAAUGUGGUAUCCAACUCAAAUGCCCCAGCAGGAAAAGCAACUGGCCGCCAUGACCCAACAGGAGACUCUACCGGCCAGUUAUCCUAAGCAGCCUCAAGCAGUGUUGUAUCCAGCUCAAAUGCCCCAGAAGCAACCAGCUACUGAACGUCAGCAUCAGAAGGAACAGGCCAUACCCCAGUUACCUCAGCAAGUGUGGUAUCCAGUUCAAAUUCCCCAGCAGCAAAAGCAACCAGCUACUGGGCCUCAGCAGCAGACGGAACUGACCACCAUGCCCCAGAAGCAACCGGCUCCAAUGGAUAUACCGCAGAAACAACCAACAGCUAUGCCACAGAAAACAUGGUAUCCAGCUCAAAUGCAGCAGAAGCAACUGGCCACCAUUCACCAGCAAGUGUGGCAUCCAGCUCAAUUGCCCCAGGAGCAAAAGCAACCAGCUACUGAACCUCAGCAGCAGAAGGAACCGGCCGCUAUAAGCCAGCAACCUCAGCAAGUGUUGCAUCCAGCUCAAAAGCCGCAGAAGCAGAAGCAACCCUCCACUGAACCUCAGCAGCAGAUUGACCUGACCGCCAUGCCCCAGCCCCAGCAAAUGUGGCAUCCAGCUCAAUUUCCCCAGGAGCAACCAGUCCCUAUGCAUCAACUGCAGAAGGAUCUGACCGCCAUUCCACCACAACUGUGGCAUUCCGCUCAAAUGCCCCAGCUGCAUAAGCAACCGGCUGCCAUGCUUCAGCAAGUGUGGCAACUGGCCCCCAUUCCCCAGCAGCCUCAUGACGUGUGGUAUCCAGCAAAAAUGGUCCAGAAGCAACAAGCCGCUGCAACUCGGCGGCAGAAGGAACUGACCACCAUGCCUCAGCAAGUGUGGUAUCCAGCUCAAAUGCCCCAGGAGCAGAAGCAACCGGCCACCAUAACGAAACAAGAGUUGCAUCCAGUGCACGUUCCCCAGAAGCAACAGGAACCGGCCACCAUACCCCAGCAAGAGUGGCAUCCAGCUCAAAUGCUGCAGACGCAACUGGCCCCAAUGCCUAUCCUGCAGAAACAACCAACAGCUAUACUCCAGCAAGCAUGGUAUCCAGCUCAAAUGUCCCAGCAGCAGAAACUGGCCACCAUGCUGCAGAAGCAACCAGCCCCAAUGCCUCAACUGCAGAAGGAACAGGCCACCCUGCCCCCGCAAGUGUGGCAUCCAGCUCAAAUGCCACAGCAGCAAAAGCAACCAGCUACUGAAACUCGGCAGCAAAUUGAACCGACCGCCAUGCCCCAGCCACCUCAGCAAGUGUGGCAUCCAAAUCAAUUUCCCCAGGAGCAGAAGCAACCAGCCCCUAUGCAUCUACCGCAGAAGGAACUGACUGCCAUACCCCAACAACUGUGGCAAACGGCUCAAAUGCCCCAGCAGCAUAAGCAACCGGCUGCAAUGCUUCAGCAAGUGUGGCAUCUGGCACAGAAGCAACCGGCCCCUAUGCCCCAGCAGCCUCACGGUGUGUGGUAUCCAGCUAAAAUGGUCCAGAAGCAACAAGUCGCUGCACUGACCGCCAUGCCGCAGACGCAUCAGCAAGUGUGGCUUCCAGCCCAAUCUCCCCAGCAGCAGAAGCAACCGGCCUCCACCCCUCUACCGCAGGAGCAGCCGACCGCCGUAUCCCAGCAAGUGUGGUAUCCAGCUCAAAUGUCCCAGCGGAAGCUACACACUGCCAUGCCACAACAGCAACUGACCGUCAUGCCUCAGCAGAAGCACUACCAAAGCACUGAAGAUGGUGCUUCUGGUAGCGCUCAGGCCAGCAUCGUUGAACAGUUGGGUGUCAUCCCAAUCUAUUCCUACAGUUCCAAAUCGCACUACGCGAAGGGCAGAACGAUCUUUUCCCAAAUCAGCUACACUCCUAGGGAGGCUAUUUCUGACAGUGGAAAUGCUCCCAAGGACGGUUAUGUUAGCUUUGGUGCACCAAGAGUCCUUUGUACUAACCAUAUAUCUAUCAACAGGAAAAUGUAAUGGAUUCAUCCUCUAGAAGCUCUAAUGGACGUUGCUGGUGCUCUUGCUGCUCUAGAGUUAUGGAGUACAUCAACAAUUUUACUUUAAAAAAUGCCUUGUCUCUUUGAAACAAUGAUUCUCGUGUCCAUUGCGAAUUGAGAACAGGUGGUGUGCAGUCUUGUAAAAAUGACUGUUCAGUUAAAUCUUUGCUUGUUCAUCUUUUACCUUUGCUACUGGUUGUUCAAAAUAAAAGCUUGUCUACAUUAGAGCAUUUGUGAAGGGGUGAGUUGUUAGACAUUCAUCAUAUGUUCAUACUUUAGAUGUAGUCAUGCAUUGUAUACAGUGAGACUUCACUUCAACCUCAGUGUAAGUUGUUGGUGAGUAAAUUAACAUAUAGGAAAUUGUUUUUAGAUGGUCAGACCAUGGCUCAUUUAGCUAUUAGAAUUGAGUGAACUUCUUGGUUUCAAACUUGCAUUUGGCCUUCUACUAUAGCCCACACCACAAAUGGCAAAGAGUCAAAUCAGUUUAGAAGUGUCUGUCCCAUAUCUAGGUGAUGCUUCAACCCCUGUUGGCACAUCUACCUCCAUGCUUCUGUUUGUAUGGGUUACAACCUUCAGAUGGGUCUUAUAAUUGUGGGGUCAAAGAGGGAAAAGUAACUAUGUUCGGGAGUCAAUUUUACAAAAUGUUCAUAGUUUGUAGGCCAAACCGUUCUGACGCUAGAUGUUUUUGAGACUGCAUUUUGAGGUGUCUGACCAACACAUCUGUAGCUCGGCCCCUGUCCACCGCAGAUGCGUAAGGGCGACAGGCGGAUGCAGUGGAUUGAGACUCAGCCCAUUCUAAAUGUUCUAGCUUCAACUGGAUUUUGAUGGGCCUCAAUACUCUUCACCUGUAUCCCAUUCCUCCUAGUCCAUUUAUUGUACCACAGGUUCCUAUAGAAUGGAUUCGGUGUAUUUGAUUUAUGAUGCCUAGAGCGGUUUAACCUAUCAAAUAACAAAUAUAUUCUGUACAGACUGUCUUCAAACAUGUACAUUUUCUUAACCAGUUAUUAAUCAUACUUCAUAGUAUGAGAAUUCAGCCCUUAAAUGGAUCCAUUAAGUUCCAAAGAGGAAGCUGGUAGGCACUAGCAUGACAGUUUAACUAGCAUAAGAUGUCACCCAGGACUUUUUGUAAACUUGACAUAUUUGCCUGUUGUAGUUGACUAUUUGGACACAGACUCAUGAACACGAAUGAAAUUGUAUAUGCAUUGAAUUUUCUACAAGGAGUUACACUUUGUUGGACGAUCUCUUGUCUAGCGUACCUCAACAUACUUAGUUUAAUUUGUCACGGUAUGGAAUUUUUGGACACAAUCUCAGUGUACAGCCUUUUUGCACAACACAUUUCUUCCCGGACCACUGAGGUUGCACCUGCAAAAGCCUCUGUCAGGAACUUCAUUAGCCUGCAUUAAAAGGUGCACUUGAUUAAGCUCACCCAGUGCAAUGGCUAGUUAGAUUUCCCUCUAUAAAACCAUCGGAUUGGUCCACGAUCCUCUAGACCCAAAUUGCUACAGACGCAAUCUAUCCUGCCUUUCUAAGGUCUUCAAAAGCCAAGUCAACAAACAGAUUACCGACCGUUUCGAAUCCCACCGUACCUUCUCAGCUACGCAAUCAUGGUUUCAAUGUUGGUCAUGGGUGCACCUCAGCCACGCUCAAGGUCCUGAACGAUAUAACCGCCAUCGAUAAGAGAUAUUACUGUGCAGCCGUAUUCAUCGACCUGGCCAAGGCUUUCGACUCUGUCAAUUACCACAUUCUUAGUGGCAGACUCAACAGCCUUGGUUUCUCAAAUGAUUGCCUCGCCUGGUUCACCAACUAUUUCUCUGAUAUAGAGUUCAGUGUGUCAAAUCGGAGGGCCUGUUGUCCGGACCUCUUGCAGUCUCUAUGGGGGUGCCACAGGGUUCAAUUCUCGGGCUGACUCUUCUCUGAUGUCUCUCUCGCUGCUGGUGAUUCUCUGAUCCACCUCUGCAGACGACACCAUUCUGUAUACUUCUGGCCCUUCUUUGGACACUGUUAACUAACCUCCAGAUGAGCUUCAAAGCCAUACAACUCUCCUUCCGUGGCCUCCAACUGCUCUUAAAUGCAAGUAAAACUAAAUGCAUGCUCUUCAACCGAUCACUGCCCACACCUGCCCGCUUGUCCAGCAUCACUACUCUGGAUGGUUCUGACUUAGAAUAUGUGGACAAGUACAAAUACCUAGGUGUCUGGCUAGAAUGUAAAUUCUCCUUCCAGACUCACAUUAAGCAUCUCCAAUCCAAUAUUAAAUCUAGAAUCCGCUUCCUAUUUCGCAAAAAAGCCUCCUUCACUCAUGCUGCCAAACAUACCCUCGUAAAACUGACUAUCCUACCGAUCCUUGACUUUGGUGAUGUCAUCUAUAAAAUAGCCUCCAUCACUCUACUCAACAAAUGUGAUG
rnacentral:lncRNA from 13 species